UACGGGGGGCAAGCGUUGUUCGGAAUUACUGGGCGUAAAGGGCGCGUAGGCGGCCCGCUAAGUCGAACGUGAAAUCCCCGAGCUCAACUCGGGAACUGCGUCCGAUACUGGCGGGCUUGAAUCCGGGAGAGGGAUGCGGAAUUCCAGGUGUAGCGGGUGAAAAUGCGUAGAUAUCUGGAGGAACACCGGUGGCGAAGGCGGCAUCCUGGACCAAUACUGACGCUGAGGAGCGAAAAGCCAGGGGAGCGAACAGGA
rnacentral:rRNA from 1 species